rnacentral:rRNA from 1 species
CCCUUAGACGUUCUGGGCCGCACGCGCGCUACACUGGCCGGUGCAACAAGCAUCCGUCCUUGGCCGACAGGCCCGGGCAAUCUUUGAACGCCGGUCGUGAUGGGGAUAGACUUUUGCAAUUUUUGGUCUUCAACGAGGAAUUCCUAGUAAACGCAAGUCAUCAACUUGCAUUGAUUACGUCCCUGCCCUUUGUACACACCGCCCGUCGCACCUACCGAUUGAAUGGUCCGGUGAAGCCUCCGGAUUGGCGCGCACCUCGGUGCCGCCGAGAAGUUGGCUAAACCUUACCAUUUAGAGGAAGGAGAAGUCGUAACA